GCUCACCAGGACUUUUUGGCGGGAACGCGAGGAGUGAAGUUGUGUGAUUUGUUUUAUUUUGUCUAUUUAGUGUUUCUUCAGACAUAAAUGUCCUUUAGACAGUAAAAUUGUCAAAAUGACAAUUGACGCCAACUGUUGCACCGGAAUUGGGUGAAUCAGCAGUCCGAGUAAAACCGAGAUCUAGGUCUAGAAAAACCUGAUUUUCUCUAAAUCUAAUAUGAAUUUUGUAGAAUUCCAAUUGGAUUUAUCAAGAAGAUAGAUUUCUUUAUGUAAUGUCUAAUACUACACCUAACAGUUCUAAUAAAAAUAAUACGGGGUAGUCAAAUUUAACUUUAAUUUUUCGAUAAAAAAAAAACGCUUGCUGGAUGUAAUAUUAUAUAUUUAUUAAACAAACUAACCUACGUGAUAAAAUAAAAGGCAAACCGCCACAUGUUCCAGUACAUUUUUUUUAUACUGCACGUGCUUACACAAAAACGUCCCUCGUCAAAUGUCACUCGAGUGGCUCUCGUAACUCAUUUGUUUUUAUUAUGUUCUUGGCGUCAGAGCCAAAUGAUUUUUUGUUUACAAUAAUUUGAGCUUAUAGCCAAGCUAUUUUAAGCAAUGACACUGUUUUAUUUUACAGAUUUUGAAUAUGAACGUCUCAAAUAUGACACUUAAAAUUAGUACAAAAAACAGUGUCACAUAAAAACUAAGAUUUUGCAGAAUAUAUGCUUGCAAGUGCUAUAAUAAUUAAUUAUUCAAGAUUUACAUGAAACUGGGCAUUGAUUCCAAUGAAAAACAGCACAUAUCUGGAAAAAAAUAUAAACAAAAAAAAAACCUAAAUAUAGUGAAAAAAUAACAACGAAUGGUCAAUAAGUAUGGAUUUCUUCAUGGACUUAUUCAAAAUAAAAUUAAUCAUUAUUA